GAAAUGCGAUAAGUAAUGUGAAUUGCAGAAUUCAGUGAAUCAUCGAAUCUUUGAACGCACAUUGCGCCCUUUGGUAUUCCAAAGGGCAUGCCUGUUCGAGCGUCAUUUGUACCCUCAAGCUUUGCUUGGUGUUGGGCGUCUUUUUGUCUCUCCCCUUGUUGGGGGAGACUCGCCUUAAAACGAUUGGCAGCCGACCUACUGGUUUUCGGAGCGCAGCACAAAUUUGCGCCUUCCAAUCCACGGGGCGGCAUCCAGCAAGCCUUUGUUUUCUAUAACAAAUCCACAUUUUGACCUCGGAUCAGGUAGGGAUACCCGCUGAACUUAAGC
rnacentral:misc_RNA from 1 species